AGGACGAACGCUGGCGGCGUGCCUAACACAUGUAAGUCGAACGGGGUUAAUGACUUCGGUUAUUAACUUAGUGGCGAACGGAUGAGUAACGCGUGAGAAACCUUUCUUUCAGUGGGGGACAACAGUUGGAAACGACUGCUAAUACCGCAUAAUGUUAUUUAGGGGCAUCCCUGAAUAACCAAAGCUUAAUGUGCUGAAAGAUGGUCUCGCGUCUGAUUAGCUAGAUGGCGGGGUAACGGCCCACCAUGGCGACGAUCAGUAGCCGGUCUGAGAGGAUGAACGGCCACAUUGGGACUGAGAUACGGCCCAGACUCCUACGGGAGGCAGCAGUGGGGAAUAUUGGGCAAUGGGGGAAACCCUGACCCAGCAACGCCGCGUGAAGGAAGAAGGCCUUCGGGUUGUAAACUUCUUUUACCAGGGACGAAGAACGUGACGGUACCUGGAGAAAAAGCAACGGCUAACUACGUGCCAGCAGCCGCGGUAAUACGUAGGUUGCAAGCGUUGUCCGGAUUUACUGGGUGUAAAGGGCGUGUAGGCGGAGAUGCAAGUUGGGAGUGAAAUCCCGGGGCUCAACCCCGGAACUGCUUUCAAAACUGCAUCCCUUGAGUAUCGGAGAGGCAAGCGGAAUUCCUAGUGUAGCGGUGAAAUGCGUAGAUAUUAGGAGGAACACCAGUGGCGAAGGCGGCUUGCUGGACGACAACUGACGCUGGAAGCGCGAAAGCGUGGGGAGCAAACAGGAUUAGAUACCCUGGUAGUCCCCCCUGGUAAAAAAGAAUACUGGGGUGGUGGGAGGACUGACCCCCUUCCGUGCCGCAGUUAACACAAUAAGUAUUCCACCUGGGGAGUACGACCGCAAGGUUGAAACUCAAAGGAAUUGACGGGGGCCCGCACAAGCAGUGGAUUAUGUGGUUUUAAUUCGACGCAACGCGAAGAACCUUAACAAAAAAAGACAUCCAACUAACGAAGUAGAGAUACAUUAGGUGCCCUUCGGGGAAAGUUGAGACAGGUGGUGCAUGGUUGUCGUCAGCUCGUGUCGUGAGAUGUUGGGUUAAGUCCCGCAACGAGCGCAACCCCUAUUGUUAGUUGCUACGCAAGAGCACUCUAGCGAGACUGCCGUUGACAAAACGGAGGAAGGCGGGGACGACGUCAAAUCAUCAUGCCCCUUAUGUCCUGGGCUACACACGUAAUACAAUGGUGGUAAACAGAGGGAAGCAAAACCGCGAGGAGGAGCAAACCCCUAAAAGCCAUCUCAGUUCGGAUUGCAGGCUGCAACUCGCCUGCAUGAAGCUGCAUUUAGGGUAAUCGCGGAUCAGCAUGCCGCGGUGAA
rnacentral:rRNA from 1 species